CACCAACACAACAGAAAAAGGCUUACUCCAGUAACUAUGACCGGCUGGGAGAUUCUGACCCAUCUUUUGGGGCUUUUUCCCUCAAGUCCUGGUCUCCCUUUAUAAGACUUACUGACUAGUGUGUGACAUCACAGACCCAAUUCUGUCACAGCCUAAGCAUCAUCAUGUGGAGUGCAUUCUAAGUCUACACUAUGGCCUUCUUGCUGGACUCCUUAACUGAUGGAGGUUACCUGGAAUCUCAGUGAGUCUCAUGUGAACAGCGACCAAUUCCCUAAGAGAUCUUCAGACAAUUACUUAGUCCUGCAAGCUGGCAUCUCUGGCAAGGAGAGAGGAAGGAAGAAGAGGAAGCUCGGAAUCAUCCUGACUUGCAGAGGAAGUGCCCACCUUUCUCUCACAGAGAAGCAGAAACCUCACAAGAUCAAGUCUGAAGACUUGGCUUCAGGCCCUGACUGGCUGCUUCUUGCUGGGAGGGUCUUAGGCAGGUUACCCACCACAUGGUGUCUCUCUCCCCAUCAGUAAAUCUGGAGUAAUGGUA